rnacentral:rRNA from 1 species
UACGGAGGGUGCAAGCGUUAUCCGGAUUCACUGGGUUUAAAGGGUGCGUAGGCGGGCAGGUAAGUCAGUGGGGAAAUCUCCGAGCUUAACUCGGAAACUGCCAUUGAUACUAUUUGUCUUGAAUAUUGUGGAGGUAAGCGGAAUAUGUCAUGUAGCGGUGAAAUGCUUAGAUAUGACAUAGAACACCAAUUGCGAAGGCAGCUUACUACACAAUGAUUGACGCUGAGGCACGAAAGCGUGGGGAUCAAACAGG